AGGCACAAGAAGGAUCCUGGACAGGCAGCAACACCUGUCUUUGUGUGAUUCUGAAAUGACCAUGGAGCUGAAAUCUGCAGUUUUUUACUGAGUGAACAUAAACUUUACUCGAUUGAUUUAACAAUAACGCAUGCGUCCUUCUGAAUAACAGAAAGAAAUAAAAACAACCGAUUAGUUGAAUUAAAGUACGCCAAACGACACGACACUAUUCCUUCAUUAAAGUUAACUUAGCAGAAAAAUACUCAGUAUGCAUCAUUUAUCUAUUUUUCUCAGUAAUACUAUUUAACCCCCGGUAUACACAAUCCACGGAAAGCCUAGUAAAAGAGAUGGGAGGAUUUAAGGCAGGAAUUUUUAAUUGGUCAUUUCAGCUGGGAAGUAUUUCUCAAAAGGCCCUUUUGAUAGAUGCUUUUGGUAACUUACUUGUGAGAGAGUGAACUGUCACAAACUGCGUUUCCCUGGACAAGUCACUGAAAUUUUCAGGCCCAAUGUCUUUAAAUCUUUCAAAACAGUUAGAAGUAGGUGACCUCGGAAAACUCUUCACAGAUCAUCAUUCUUGGAUCCUGUGACAUCAGGAUAACGUCACUAAUGUCACAUGUGGUGGUGGACAUGUGUGGUGGCUCCUGAAGGUGGCAUCAUCAUCAAGUCUGGUUCAUUCUGGGCAGGAGGAUCAAGACCUGCUUCUGAUCUUGCAAAUCUAGCAUCUGCUCCUUUCUGGGCUCCUGUCUCUGCUCUGAAGCUCUGGAGAGAGGUCUAAGGUCAGAGGGGCGCUCUCUUCCAGGUAAGACUCCCUCACAGAGGCCCCCUGCUUCCUGCCUCACAAGGGCUGGUUUGUUUCAAGGCAACUGGGACAUGGAUCUGAGAAACAAAUUCAUUUUAGGGGCAAAAAGCCUGACUCUUGGAAUUCAUUAUAACGUUAGACUUCAAGGACAGAAAGCCUGACAAUGCAGAGGGGGCCAGGCACCUCUGUCUGACCCAAGGGACCUGAAGAGACACUAGAAAUCCCAGGAUACAUGUAACACACGGUGGGAUUCCAUCCACAUCCUUUCCUUUACAUCCCUGGGGACGCAGGGACAGGCCAAGUUCCUAAAUGCUGUGAAGGCUGUAUGCCAGUCUUGGGCAGGUGUGCCAUC
rnacentral:lncRNA from 1 species